UUUUUUUUUUUUUUUUUUUUUAAGAUUUAUUUAUUUAUUUAUUCAUGAUAGACACAGAGAGAGAGAGAGAGAGAGAGAGAGGCAGAGACCUAGGCAGAGGGAGAAGCAGGCUCCAUGCAGGGAGCCCGACGUGGGAUUCGAUCCCGGGUCUCCAGGAUCGCGCCCUGGGCCAAAGGCAGGCGCCAAACCGCUGCGCCACCCAGGGAUCCCCUCUAUCUUUUAGUUCUAAUGCCUUUUCUCCUUUCCCCAAAUUAGGGAAGUUCUCAGCUAUGAUUUGUUCAAAUAUACUUUGUGGUCCUCUUUCCCUCUCAGCCUCUUCUGGAACCCCAAUUAUAUGUAAAUUCUUCUUUCUCAGGCUAUCAUUUAUUUCCCUAAACCUUUCCCCAUGGUCUCUUUAUUGUUUUCUCUUUUUUCCUCCACUUCCUUCCUUACCAUCAACUUGUCUUCUAUGUCACUCACUCUCUCUUCCACCUCAUUAACCUUAGCAGUUAGGACAUCUAAUUUGGAUUGCAUCUCAUUUAAUCUAUUUUUUAUUUCGGUCUGAUUAGAUCCCAAUUCUGCAGUAACAAAGUCUCUAGAGUCCUUUAUGCUUUUUUUUUUUCAGAGUCACCAGUAGCUUUAUAAUUGUGCUUCUGAAUUGACUUUCUGACAUCAUAUUGAAAUCCAUAUUAUCUAACUUUGUGGUAGAGUACUGUUUCCAGUUCUUUCUUUUGUGGUGAAUUCUUCCUUUGUCUAGUGCAGAGUGGCUGUCUGAGCAGGCUGAGUCAAAAAUGUCAACCACAACCUAAGUAAAAUAUACCCAGAUGAUUUCGAAGAGGUCAGAGACCAGAAAAUGAAAAAGAAGAUCAGAACAAGAUAAAACAAAAGGACUACUAAAGUGAAAAACAAAUUUUAAAACAAAGUAGUAAAAAAUAAAAGGCCAAAAACCACAAAGAAGAAAAAAGAAAAAGAAAAAAUAAGUAAAGAAAAGAGAAAAAAGAAAGAAGAAAAAAAGGAGGGGGCUGGAGCAUGGUGGUGGUGAAGAGUGGUAGUGGAGAGAGAAUGUAGCCUACCUGAGGGGUUCUAAAGGGUUAUCCUCUUGGUUCUGAGUGUAUUUUGUUCUGUAUGUUAGAAGAUGCUCAAUCCCAAAUUUAUAUAAACCAGCAAUACAUAUAGAAAGCCCCAACACUGACCACCAAAACAUAAACAAGAUAAAAGAGGGGGCCAGAAUGGGAAGGAAGAGAGAAUAUAGUCUCAUAGAAUGAACCAGCACGGUAUUCCACUUGGUUCUGGGUGUAUGUUAGUUGUGUUUUAGAAGGUAUUAACUUCCACUAUUGUAAAACAAAAUGAGGCAGAAAAAAACAAAAAACACAAAACAAAAACCCAUAUCUCAUAUAUCUACCAAAAUUAAAUUGAAUAUGUUGAAGGGAAUCCAGAAGUGGAAAAUAUAUCUAAGACAUGUAAUUGUAGAAAUAUAAAAGUCAAAGAGGAAAAAAACUUAAAAAUGAAGAACUGGUAAGAUAUUAUAGUUAAGGUGGGAAAAGAGAAAAAAAUUUAGAAAUUUUUAGUCUGAAAUAAAAAAAGUUGUAAUGGGAAAAGAAAAAAAAAAUAGAGUUCUAUAUAUUAUUUUCCCUCAGUCCUGGAGCUUUCCAGUACUGCUUGGUCAAUAAACUUGGUCUUCCCCUGUUCUUCCAGCUGGUCUUCUGGGGGAGGGGUCUGUUACGGUGAUUCUCAGGUAUGUGUGCCUGAGUGGAGAUGUCCUACCCCCUGCCAGGUGACGGCUCGGUGGGAGCUGUUUAUCCUGUGAGGCCUCUGUUCCCUGGUGGCCCCACUCUCCCAGGCACACAGUGAAACAAAAAGGAAAAAUAACAGUGGGGGCGGCCAGAUUUCUAGCAAUGGGGUCGAGCUCCGCUCGAGUAACUUAAUGCAGUCUCCCAGUCCACACUGGCCUAGAUGCUCCCUGGGCCUGCACGGGUGCACUGAUCUGCAUAGCUUGGGGGUGCCCAGCAGAAGAGUUCUCGCUGUUCUGUGCCCUCCCUGCUUUUGCCCAUCCCAGAGGGAACACAGGAUUGCCAGCUUUGUCCACUUGGGGGCCCUGGGAUCCAGGGCCCUGUGCUGCUGGACCCACGCUCUGACGGCCGCCUCUCCUGAAGGCCACCUCCUUCUGGAGCCAGCCCACCUGACUGGUUUUUCCCAAAUGCCCCAGAGACCUGCAGCACUCCAUCCCCUUACCGAUAUCAGACCCUGGUUUGAGGUGAGUUUUUCCCUGGGCACCCCUCCUCUUAUAGUGACUCAGGGAAUCUUGAGGCUUCAUUGCCCCUCCUGGGACUUUGCCCAAUUUCCCUGCUAAGCACUGGGGAAAACUACAGUGCAGAUUUUUAAAGUUCCCAUUUCUCCAGGGCUGGGCUUUCCUGUUCUGGAGGCUCUCGCUGCUCUGUUUUCACCCGGCUCCUCGCCGUGCCCCUCCCCCACUUUAUUCUUUUUUAUUUAUUUUUUUCCACCUUCCUAACUUGUUAGAAGUGAAAACUUUUCUCUCUGUAGCAUUCCAGCUGCUCUCUCUUUAUUAUUAUUAUUUUUAAAGAUUUAUUUAUUUAUUCGUGAUAGAUGGAGAGAGAGAGAGAGAGAGAGGCAGAGACACAGGAGGAGGGAGAAGCAGGCUCCAUGCCAGGAGCCCAACGUGGGACUUGAUCCCGGGACUCCAGGAUCGCGCCCUGGGCCAAAGGCAGGGCCAAACCACUGAGCCACCCAGGGAUUCUCCCCCUCCCCCACCCUUUUUGUUAAAGAUUUAGUUAGUUAGUUAGUUAGUUAGUUAGUUAGUUAGUUAGUUAUUCAUGAUAGAUGUAGUGAGAGAAAGAGAGAGGCAGAGACACAGGAGGGAGAAGCUGUUCUUUCUUUAAAUCUCAGGUCAAAUUCACUGGUGUUCAGGAUGUUUUGAAAGUUAUCUGGGUAAGUUUGUGGGACCAGGUGAGUUGAGGACCCCUACUCUUCCUCCAUCUUGCCCCCUCCUCCCUGGGAUCAAGUCUUGUAUCAGGCUCCCUGCUUAGCAAAGAGUCUGCUUCUCCCUUUCCCUCUAUCCCUCCCCUCUGCUCACGUGCUCUCUCUCAUGCUCUCUUUCUCACUCUCUCAAAUAAAUAAAAUCUUAAAAAAAAAAAAAAAAGAAAAAAGGCAUUGUGAACUAGACUGAAAAGGAAUAGCCAGAGAUUGGCCAAUAUAAUCAGGAAUAUAUCAUGUAAACAAGAAAGGAGGUAGUUUCAAAAAAGAUGGAAUGGUCAACAACAUCAAAAAUUACAGAGAGGUCAAGUAAGAUUAAAUACCCAACUCACUCACUGUAUAAAACAAUAUACCCACAUUACUGAGUUUCUUUAUUUAAGAUGAGAAAGGUUUGUAUCACUUUCAAUGCUGUUGAGAUGGAGCAGACAUCAGCAGAAAGCCAGCAGAAAAGGAGAAAGAGAAAAGAGGGGGAAAUGAUGCUUUGUUAAGAUCCUGAGUGAGAUUGGAGAACAAAGAGCAC
rnacentral:lncRNA from 1 species